GAUGAACGCUGGCGGCGUGCCUAAUACAUGCAAGUCGAGCGAACAGACGAGGAGCUUGCUCCUCUGACGUUAGCGGCGGACGGGUGAGUAACACGUGGAUAACCUACCUAUAAGACUGGGAUAACUUCGGGAAACCGGAGCUAAUACCGGAUAAUAUAUUGAACCGCAUGGUUCAAUAGUGAAAGACGGUUUUGCUGUCACUUAUAGAUGGAUCCGCGCCGCAUUAGCUAGUUGGUAAGGUAACGGCUUACCAAGGCAACGAUGCGGAACCGACCUGAGAGGGUGAUCGGCCACACUGGAACUGAGACACGGUCCAGACUCCUACGGGAGGCAGCAGUAGGGAAUCUUCCGCAAUGGGCGAAAGCCUGACGGAGCAACGCCGCGUGAGUGAUGAAGGUCUUCGGGUCGUAAAACUCUGUUAUUAGGGAAGAACAAAUGUGUAAGUAACUAUGCACGUCUUGACGGUACCUAAUCAGAAAGCCACGGCUAACUACGUG
rnacentral:rRNA from 1 species